UCCCCCUGGCGAUAAGCAAAGAGACACACUGUUGGUGGUGUUCUUCUAUCAGUCAGAGGCAGGGCAGGCAGCAGUCCUUUGUUCAUCCUAGCUUAAUGCCUGGCUUGGUGGCCAAUGCUGUUUUAUCCCUAGGACACAUAA